rnacentral:tmRNA from 1 species
GGGGACGACAUGGUUUCGACGGAGGACAGAGUAUCGUAGACGGCAUGCCGAGGUUGUCUGGCGCCUCGUAAAAUAGCCGGGCAAAAAAGUAAAUGCAGAUGAUUAUGCAUAUGCCAUGGCUGCCUAAUUAAACGCAGCCACGUCCUACUAACCAGCGCCACCAUGGUUGGAUAGGACGACGGUAUGGGUGGCUGGUCCGCUGCGGUGCCUGGCUGUAGCGGACGAGAUGCUUCCAGGCUGGCUGCCAAAGGGCUUUGUUCGUUGGGCCCGAGGCGGCGAGACCCAACCAACGAACUAAGCAUGUAGAAGUCUACGGGGCUUAUCCUCCGGACGCGGGUUCGAUUCCCGCCGUCUCCACUA